GAUGAACGCUGGCGGCGUGCCUAAUACAUGCAAGUCGAGCGAACGGACGAGAAGCUCGCGUCUCUGCUGUUAGCGGCGGACGGGUGAGUAACAAGUGGAUAACCUACUUAUAAGUCUGGGAUAACUUCGGGAAACCGUAGAUAAUACCGGCUCAUAUUUUGAACCGCAUGGAUCAAAAGUGAAUGACGGUCUUGCCGUCACUUAUAGAUGGAUCCGCGGUGCAUUAGCUAGUUGGUAAGGUAACGGCAUACCAAGGCAACGAUGCAUAGCCGACCUGAGAGGGAGGACCGCCACAACUGAACUGGAGAACGGUCCCGAAUCCUACGGGGAGCAGCAGUAGGGAAACUUCCGCAAUGGGCGGAAACCUGACGGAGCAACGCCGCGGGAGGGAUGGAGGGCUUCGGAGCGGUAAACUCUGUUAGUUGGGAAGAACAUAUGUGUAAGUAACUGUGCACACCUUGACGGUACCUAAUCAGAAGGGCACGGCUAACUACGUU
rnacentral:rRNA from 1 species